UAGAAAGCGAUCAGUCACAAGCUGAGACUGUGGCUUAAGUGCAGAUGGUGGGAAGGAGACAGAAGUCGACACAAGCGGCUGACAGGCGGAAAGAACAGAAGCUAUUACAUUACUGCACUUCAAACAGACAACCGCACGGAAAGCUGAAAACAAGGAUGAUGUGGUAUUUCGCGCCUACCUGUCAAUAUUCCAACUCGAAUUUGGUGGUCGUGGUUAGUUAAAAGCAUUCCGUCUGACGCCAUGUUUUCAAGCUCAUGGAGACGAGAGACGAGCGCCUCGAACCGUGGGAACGGAAAGACACGAACCGCCUCAGGCCUGAAAAGAUGAACGACAAGUGACUCGAACGAAGGGUUUUAUGGCGGUUGGCAACCAACUUAAAGGAGCAUUACCGCCACCAACUGGGCUGGAGUGUGGAACAGGGCCAACCAGAUCGCUACUAACUCUGUAGUGUAAACAGAUAAGUUGCCAUCUAUUUUUUUCAAAAUGCUC